rnacentral:rRNA from 1 species
ACGGAGAGUUUGAUCAUGGCUCAGGACGAACGCUGGCGGCGUGCCUAAAACAUGCAAGUCGAACGAGGCCUUUGGCCUAGUGGCGAACGGCGGAGUAAUACAUAAGCAACCUGCCCCGAAGACCGGGAUAGCCCCUUGAAAGAGGGAUUAAUACCGGAUGUUGUCCGAGGAGGGCAUCCUUUUUGGACUAAAACGCGCAAGCGGCUUUGGGAGGGGCUUGUGGCCUAUCACCUUGUUGGUGGGGUAACGGCUCACCAAGGGUUCGACGGGUAGCUGGUCUGAGAGGACGAUCAGCCCGACUGGGACUGAGACACGGCCCAGACUCCUACGGGAGGCAGCAGUUAGGAAUCUUGCGCAAUGGAGGAAACUCUGACGCAGCGACGCCGCGUGCAGGACGAAGUAUUUCGGUAUGUAAACUGCUUUUGCCAGGAAAGAAAUCUGACGGUACCUGGCGAAUAAGCCCCGGCUAACUACGUGCCAGCAGCCGCGGUAAGACGUAGGGGGCGAGCGUUGUCCGGAUUUACUGGGCGUAAAGAGCGGGCUGGAGUGGCGAAGAGGUGAUUGGAAUUCCCGGUGUAGCGGUGACAUGCAUUGAUAUCGGGAGGAACACCAACGGCGAAGGCAGGUCACUAGUCGCCAACUGACGCUGAGGCGCGAAAGCGUGGGUAGCAAACAGAAUUAGAUACUCUGGUAGUCCACGCCCUAAACGAUGGAUACUAGUCGUCGGGGGUAUCGACCCCCUCGGUGACGUCGCAAACGCACUAAGUAUCCCGCCUGGGGAGUACGGCCGCAAGGUUGAAACUCAAAUGAAUUGACGGGACCCCGCACAAGCGGUGGAGCAUGUGGAUUAAUUCGAUACUAACCGAAGAACCUUACCCAGACUUGACAUCGAUGGUAAGCCGUAGAAAUGCGGCCCCCUACCCACAAGGUAGGCCGGAAGACACCUGUUGCAUGGCUGUCGUCAGCUCGUGCCGUGAGGUGUUUGGUUAAGUCCAGCAACGAGCGCAACCCUCAUUUCGUGUUACCAGCGGAUAAAGCCGGGGACUCACGAAAAACUGCUCCGGUAACGGAGAGGAAGGUGAGGAUGACGUCAAGUCGGCAUGGCGGUUACGUCUGGGGCUUCACACAUGCUACAAUGGGCGCAACAAAGGGCAGCAAUACCGCGAGGUGGAGCUAAUCCCAAAAAUACGCCCUCAGUUCAGAUUGCAGUCUGCAAUUCGACUGCAUGAAGGCGGAAUCGCUAGUAACCGCAGGUCAGCUAUACUGCGGUGAAUACGUUCCCGGGGUUUGUACACACUGCCCGUCAAGUCACCUGAAUUGUCUGCACCCGAAGUCCGUGGCUCAACCGUAAGGAGAGAGCGGCCGAAGGUGUGGGGGGUAAGGGGGACUAAGUCGUAACAAGGUAGCCGUACCGGAAGGUGUGGCUGGAUCACCUCCUUUAUAGGGAGCA